rnacentral:tRNA from 1 species
GGAAAAAUAGUUUAAUUUUACUAAAACAUAACACUGAAAAUGUUAAAAUGACAUAGUCUUUAUCCA